rnacentral:lncRNA from 1 species
CAUGGCCGAAUUCGUCAUGUUUUUAUUUCACAUGGAUUUGGUUUUAAUAUUUAAUUAAUUCUUGUGGUAGAAAUUGAAUUGAAAAUAUUUUAAAAACUUUCAAGUUGAAGUAGAAAACAAUUCCUCUUCUAUCAGAAAAUGUAGAAGAAAAUCUAGAAGAAAUCAAGGAGAAAAUUCAUGAGAAAAUCUAGAAGAAGAUUCAAGAGAAAAUCUAGAAUUCUCUACUAUUAGAUGAAGAAGCAUGUAAUCCCGGCCAAAACUUGUAAUAAUAGAAUUCUUCCUCUCUUAUCUUGACAAGAACUCUAAAUUGAUGAAAACUCUCGAUUUUCAUGAUGCAAACCUUUUGAAACCCAGUCACGCUUGAUGUGAUAAGAAUUCUUGAAUUAUUAGGAGAUUUACUUGAUGUUGGAAACUAUUUAUGAGGAGAGAUGGAUUCGGUUAUAAAAGAAUGAAUAAUCAAGUGUCCAUAAUCUUUCAAUGUGCCUUAGAAUUAUGAGUGUCUAGUUAUGAAUCUUUCAAGAAAAAUAAACGACUCUCUAAUGUGAAAUACCGAGAGUCCAUGAUUGGGAGGACUCUUUUGCUCAUUUGAUUGUAAUCAUCUUGCUCAUAGGAUCUUAGUGCGAGUUCCCCUCCAUUUGCUUGCAUCAUUGAAGUUUGAGAUCAAUAAAAAUAAACUUUUAGUUUUUGCUUAGCCAUUGACUAAAUUGCUCUUUAAGGAGGUUUUUUCAACAUUUUUGUUGCGUAGAGAAUUGGUGUAUACUUAUUAAAAUAACGUGUGGGGUUUUCAUCAAUUUUUUUUUCUUUUUUUUUUCUUGAAAUAAUUCAUCAAUCUCUUUUUUAAAGUUGAUUUUAACUUAUUAAAAUAUGGAAAACAUGCGAAUGAUAAAAACAGGCAUCCUCUUUAUAUUUACUCUUUUCAAGAAAAACGUUUAUAUUCAUUUAUUUACAUUAAAAACCAGCCUCAAAAAUCAUUUCCAACAUUCUAGUGGAAACUCAGUGGCCAGUAUCAACCCCUGGUUGUCAUACAGUGAACUAUAGAGUAAGGUAAGUGAAUUUUCUUUUAUAAGCACUGAAAAACAAAGAGCACAAAUUGAUGCAAAAGAUAUUUAAUUGGGUUUCCUGAAUACAUUGACAACUGUAUUCAAUCAAAUCUACAAUUGGUCGCAAUAUUAUAUGGUUUCAUAAAUAGAUCAAAGGUUAUAUCUUUUCCAAAUCUACUAUUGGUUGUAACUAUAUGAAUUAGAUCAGCAUUUUUAUCAGCACUAUGAACUUAUGUAUAAUUUAAAGUACUCUUAAGUUUCCUAUCAAGAUUUCUAGUGAUAACUAAAUUAGAACUAAGAGUCAAUAAGUACUUGUAUUUCUUUCAAGAGAAUGCAGAGUCUUUGAGAGAACUGCACAAUAUUCUGUAGUUUGCAAUGCAACCAAUCCUUAUAUAUGAUGCUCAAGGAAUUUCUCUUGUUGGGUGUGAUAUCUAGGCAAAUAAUUAGCCUGUUCCACAUCAAUUGGCAAAUGAGUAAAACUUUAAAAAAAGAAAAGAAAAGACACCAGAAUAAGCUGAUGGCAGCAAAGAUCUUGAUAUUGCUUAGGAUCUUAACCCGAAAAAUGUACAAAGGCUUAGCUCAAGGAUGAAUGUGGGGCAUAAAUUUGUAGAUUUAUAGAUUUCAUCUUUCCUACAAGAUUUCCUGCUCCUUUCUUAUUGUGAUGCUUCAAUAUUUUCACUUUAGUGAGGAUAUGCAGUUGCAAAGUUUGCCAAUAAUUUUUGGCAUGUCCACAAGAUCAUGCUUUUGGGAAAUACAGGAUUCAGUACCUUUAGGAUUUCAUUUAUGGUUUAAAAUUUUUUAAGUUUCUUAUUAUGAUUUUUAGUCAUAAGUAGUUUAUAAUUAAGGCAAAAGUCUAAAAUGCAGGUAAUUAAUAUUUUAGAAAAUACAAACAUUGUUGGGAGAAGUUUACAACGAUAUUCUUUUGUGAUUGUAUAAGGCAACCAAACCUUAAGGUUCUAUGAGUGAUAUCUAAGGAAAUCUAGGUACAAUACAUAAUUUUGCCUCUUACCUCUAAGUAGGCCAACAAUCCCUAAUCUGU